rnacentral:misc_RNA from 1 species
GAUGAAUAACGUAGCGAAAUGCGAUAAGUAAUGUGAAUUGCAGAAUUCAGUGAAUCAUCGAAUCUUUGAACGCACCUUGCACCCUUUGGCAUUCUGAAGGGUAUGCUCGUUUGAGUGUCAUUGUACUCUCACACUCCCGAUCUUUGCAUUGGGAGCAGUGGACUUGGGUUUGCUGCUUCACCGUCGCUUACCUCAAAUAGGUUAGUGCAACUCUUGGUUGGACAUAGUACGGCGUGAUAAGUGUUCUUCGCCGGUGCCUCGCAAAGAGGGUGGCCGAUCGGGAUGUUGUGCUCCAAACCGUCUUCGGACAAUCUCUGACGACUUGACCUCAAAUCGAGUAAGACUACCCGCUGAACUUAAGCAUAUCAAUAAGCGGAGGA